GCUGCUCGGCUUCUGCGGUCGCUCCUCUAGUAAUGGCUUUUAUAUGUAUUAUCUGAGUGUUAAAUUCAUAUUUUGAGUGAGUUUGUGUUGUGGGAUGACGAUUGAGAACGAAUAAACGCGAAUAUGGACACUUCUACCAGCAGCUAACGUUAACAGACAAGCAAACUGCAAAAGAGAGGACCUGAAAGCAUGAUCCUUGGACUCCUUGGAGAAGAAUACUGUAUGUAAACGAUUCUGGAUCAGCUGUGAAGAUUUUGUAUGGAGCUGAAGUUUUGGAAAUGAAAAUCUUCUACCAUAUGAUCUUCAGAGGAACUAAUCCAGCUGAUUACUGGCAAUAUGGAGGAGGACUGCUCUUUAUCUGCUGUGUCUGUCACUUCUGGCCAUGGACCAUUUGUUGUAUGUUUUGGUUUUACUUAUUACACUAAUAUAGCUAUUAGUUUUUAACUAUAUGUAGAAUUAAAAUACAUAUGUUUUUCUACAUAUAUUACCAGAGCUACUGUGGUGCCCAAAAUUAUCAGAACACUAUUUAUU